rnacentral:rRNA from 1 species
CAGUCGCCGCGGUAAUACAGAGGGUGCAAGCGUUAAUCGGAAUUACUGGGCGUAAAGCGCGCGUAGGUGGUUUGUUAAGUUGGAUGUGAAAUCCCCGGGCUCAACCUGGGAACUGCAUCCAAAACUGGCAAGCUAGAGUAUGGUAGAGGGUGGUGGAAUUUCCUGUGUAGCGGUGAAAUGCGUAGAUAUAGGAAGGAACACCAGUGGCGAAGGCGACCACCUGGACUGAUACUGACACUGAGGUGCGAAAGCGUGGGGAGCAAACAGGAUUAGAUACCCCAGUAGUCCCUGUCUCUUAUAC